AUAUCCAAGUUAUAAACCCUGUGUGUACAAAAAAAAACAGGGAUAACCAUCUGGGACUUACAGGAAAGAUGUUCUCUUCCAAGAGAAAAUUAUCUGAUGCUCUCGCCAUCACAUUUAGAACAUCGAUGGAUUGAUAAAUGUCGGCGAUUGAGUCAGGGGAAUCCGAAUCGACUGUAGAUCUGUUCUUAAGUCCGGAAAAUAUAUUGACGGCUCCCUCCUCGGUAGCCCCAAGUCCCAUCAGGAAGUACUAGAAGCAAAACAAACAACAGCUAUGUGUAAAGAUAGACAGAAACACACCAAUCCUUUCAUUACAUAAAAUGUAGAUAAACAGUCCUUAAUUAAUAAUAACCUUAUGUCUGUGAUCUGAGUAGUUUUGAGAUGUUUGAGUGCAAAUUUGUCACAUCCCAAAUACGCGGAUUUUACUGUAUUUGGAGAACUGUUUUUUGGAGCUUAGAUCAUUUCUUUCAACACACCAAAUUAACACACCGCAUUUGGAAAUUAGCUGGCUAUUAUCUCAGAUGCCUACAUUCAAACAUACAUUAUGUAUAGAUAAACUUUAUAACCCUUUAGUGUUGUACCUAAUGGUAAAAUGACCAAUACACACACUUGAAUCACUAUCAAUCAUAAUGCUGGUGAUAAAGCCAUUCUUUUUGGAUCAUUUGAGUGAUCUUGUUAGCUUGUUUAAUCUCCGACUAGUGAGGUGGUUAUUAAACCAAGCUUGAUUGCUCAUUUUUUGUAGUUUCUGAGCCCUGACGGUCUGCAGGUUUAACGCCAUAGCGUCAAGCCUUUGGAGAAAGACCAUUUUUUCUUGUCAAAUUUUAGAACCAUCACGGAGUCAAAUUAAAAAUGAAAAUAAUCUGUGGACAUUUCUAAGGUCUGUUAAAUAAAGUUGAAUAAAAUGUUAUACUUGAGGCACACUUACAUCUGCAGCAUUUGAAACUUUAUUCAACUCUUGGUCGACACAGAAGGAGAUCGGAGGCUGCCAAUUUCUGCCUUUACAAGUGCGUGACCUAUAGCCAACUCUGCCCGGUUUGCAUUUCUUAUCAAUCAAUGUGUCCUCAGCUGGGCAAAUUGGCCAAAACUCUCCAGUGUCGUCAUAUCCCGCUUUGCAAAAUGGUGCCCCCUCUUGGACAAAAAUAUAGGAAAUGAUUGGUUGAGACAAUUUGAAUUAAUACCACUAUAACCAAAGUACCCUGACAAUGUAAGAAUAUAUAAUAUAUACCAAAGUUCAAUACUACUGAAUAUACUACAAUCUAAUAUAAAAUAAUAACUUACGAUAAACCACUGGGAUAAUCACUUUUGCACUUUUAUUUUGCCCCACGAUGUUCUCAAAGGUGACAGAAACCUCUUGUGAGACAGGGUUUUCUUGGCAACUGAUGUCAACGGAGAAAGUGUAGACUAGGUCAUAUCCAUCAGCUGUAAAGAGAGUAGUAGUCAGGCAGAUGUUUGCUGUUGGUGAUUUUGCAUUUCGCAGAAAUAUUGAGAAUUUAUAUUUGCGUUGGUGUUAUGAAAUGAAGAAAGAUUACACGCUGCGGCUAAUGAACGGAAUGAAAGGCACAGAAAGAUUUGUUUGGUGCUGACUUACACGUGUUGUAUAGAUUACCCUUCCGUUUACCAUUGAAGCUCCACCAAACAUUGUAGCUUUCAGUGGAGUCUGAGAUGGUCGCAUUGACCCUCAUGGUAACCUUUUGGGUUGGUGUCUUUUCAGAACAGUCUGCAGAAAUAGGGUCGAUGUCCAGGUUGAUAUAGUCAGGCAGGAGCACGACUGUCAGUGAUGUCUUGGCUAUGUGCCUGACUGACCCGCUGGUGAAUGCACACUCAUAUAAGCCUGCAGGGCACAUGUAGGAAAAACAUUUUUUAUUUUAUUCUCAGGCUACUCUGUUCAGAUUAGACAUGACAUGAAACAAUUCUGUUAUAGCAAAAGAAGUUUUUCUGCAUACAAAUGUCCCCUGUGUCUAAUAUUACCAUCUAUAACAUUGUUUAGACAUUUAGCACUGAUCCAUAAAACAUAUGAGCAUUACAAGAGAUUAUGACAACAAGGCCCGACUCCAGUCCAGCACAAUCACUGUUGAGCCUGUUGGCUUUUUCAAAAAGGAGAGGGGCCUAACUAGCUUUGGACGUCUUUCUUUCUUGGGUCAAGUUAAUAACCAAACUACCAAAACACAUAACAAUUUAUGGAGCUCUCCAUUCACAGAUGUGUCCAAGCAAAGGAUAAAAUAGAGAUGUGGAACCAGUUCCAAUACCAUUGCGGUGACUGUCAGCAAACGGUUGCACCCCUUGGAAUUAAUGUAAGGUGCUCCAUGAAUAAAUGCAACAUCUCUAUUAUUGAUUAGAAUUUGCCCCAAAUACGAAGUAAAAACAAAGUAGUAUAUCACUGUACUCGCCUGACCAAAGGCCUGUCACAUUCUGGAGUUUAACUCCGACACAAGACUUGUAUUCCUCUGUGGCACAGUUGUCAAUCAUUUUCACCACGCUGCCUGUGUUGAGGCCAAGGCUCUCAUUCAAAGUCUUCUUGCUCCAGCCAGCGUUGUCCGACACCUCCUCAAAUUUGCAUUUCAGUUGCGGAGUCGACUCGUAGCACACUGUAGUCGUUGGGGCCUCUAUGGUGACCAUUCCUGUGUCAGAAAGGCCAUAGAAAUACACAGUCAUACAAUAAUCUGGAUUAGAGUAGAAGGUAAAGCCCUUCAACGGCUACCCAUUGGUUUGAGUCCCUACAGUCUUUUGUCUACCCAAUACUUUGCUUCUGGUUCAGUCUCCAGGAUGCAUACGGACAGUGGAUGAUUGAUUGAUGUUACUUAACUACUUUGACCAAUGAUAACUUAUCUUAUGGUCCUGGAAAACUAAGUUAGGAAGAAAUAAUGUGUAAAAUAUGUGAAGAAAUUAUACAACAAGAAUAAAGAUCCUCCUCUGACGUUCUCCCUAAGGUUUCUUCCCUUUUUUUCCUCUUGGAAGGGUUUUUUCAUUUUUUGGGGAGUUUUUCCUGUGCCGAUGGUGGGUUUCGGGGCAGAGGAUGUCGUAUGUGUACAGACUGUAAAGCCCUGUGAGGCAAAUUUGUAAUUUGCGAUUUUGGGCUAUACAAAAUAAAAUGAAUUGAAUUGAAUUGAAUUAAAGAGAAAUUUGGAUCGCUGAUGAUACCAAUGCUGAGUUAGUCUCAGAGCAUAUUAUCAAAAUUGUAAUGGAAAAAACUUAAACAUGCUAGCACACCAAAGAUUUUUGAUAUCACAAAAUAUUUGGCAGUGUCAGCAAUUUAAAAGCAGUGCUUAAGGUUUUGCAGUGGCAUAUUUUAGAUUCUGCUAUUGCGUUGCUAUUUAAGUGGUUUUCUCACACAGAUCUGGCAGCCCUGGUCAUGGGGCGUGGUGAACAUCCCACAUUCUAAGGACCACAUAAGACUCAUUAUCAUGAUCGGACAGUUGUUAAAAGGUCCCAUGUGUACAAUCCGGUCAGAAUUUUGAUUUACAGAAAAUGAACUUGCAUUCUCAGUAAAAUGUUUGUGGACUGUGAAAUGAACAUGCUAACUGGUCAGUCCUGUCUCUGCUUGGUUUGGAACACAGUGAGAGGUGACUGUAGGUCUCUGUAACGUCUGUUCUCAGAGUUAAUUUUCCGGCAGAUUUAUUUUUAACACUUAUUCCAAGUUAACUUGUUAACACUUCAUUGAGUUGUCGUAAACACCAGUUUAGUGUUAAAAUUGAAUCUAAAAUUUGCUGUGUGCCAUGGGCUGUAAAAGUGGACGUAGUAACCGUGUUGCCAGUAAUUUGUUUGGGGAUUGACGUUUGUAAGUCUCCAGUUUUGUCAUUUUGGCGGUUGCAGCGUUUUUUUUCUUACAUGAAAUACAACCGACUGCUUACAGAGAUAUCUAAGCAACCAAAAUGUUACACAUCAUUUCCACUGAAAUGACACUGUGGAAGAGAUAAAGCUGUAGGAUAAAAGACCUGACAACAUUGUGAUGGAGAGCUGCCAUCACAAUGUAUCCCGAUAGUGAUGUGUAGAAUAACUUUAACAUUCUCUCUACAUUGUUUAUUAUGCCAAUAAACAGAAAAAUGAUCAUUGUCAAUGUCUGAAACAGUCGCACAGGCACAGAAUCAACAUGAUGGAAUUGAAUAAAGAUUGACAGCUACAGUAUCUCUUCUACUGACCUUCAGUGUCAAUCUUAAGCACAGCUCCAAGAUUGAUUUCCAGAUAACGGACGAUGUCAUGAAGUCUAUCAGUUGGCAUUUUGACGGUGACCGCUGCCUCGAAGUCAGCAACUUUGUUGACCUCCCUUUAAGAUUUGGAUCAAUGAAAGAUUAGCGGUAAGUACGAGAAUGUCUUGUUUGUAUUUGGAUAAAAGUAUGAUGACAUUUGAAAGGAAAAUGUUCACAACUACAGUGUGACGCCUUUCAAAGUUUAUUUGGGAGUCCCAUAUGGUUGUAGCUUGGUUGUAGUUUUAAAGGAAUAAGCAGGCUGAUGAUGAUGUUAAUACUUCAGCCUGUGUUACCUCCUAACAAGGGUUACAGGCUUUGACGAAAAGUCUGUGAAAAAGAAGUUAGUGAACUUUUGGUCACAUUUUCUUUAGAAAAACUCUUCUAAUUUUAUGCAUGACAGAAAAUAAAAGUAAGUAUGGUGUACCGGGAGGCGGCAGGACACCUUAGCUAAAGGACACACCAGAGCAAGGGUGUAUUCUGCUGAUAAUAAGUCAAAGGUUUAUCAGCCACUGUAGUCAAAGAAGAGUUGGCUCGGGGUCAAAGGGCCCUGUGUUAUGGCACAUGCUCCAAAUCAAUGCUUACACUGUCUUUUCAAAGUAAAUUUGACAGAAAACAACUUGGUUAGAUUUGUUAUGUACGCUAAAUAGGCUUAUUAUGUAUGCUAACUUUUUGUAGGUAGCAUAAGUUUAUUUAAUACUUGACUUAAAUUGAGCUAUUUUACAUUGGCUUUUGGUGUCACCUCAACAUGAACUCUACUCACCCAAUAACUAAGCUGCCGAGAUGAUUACAUCUUCUUUCCUCCAAACCUUAGCUUAACACUUAAGAGUUGUAUUGUCCGGCCAAUCUAAUUUUAGGCUGAGACGAUUGAAGAAGCUGUUGCAUCAUCGUCCUCAAUGAAAGAAUAAGAUAAAUCAAACGGAAAGGAUGUUACUGUACCUCUGACCGGUUACAUUCAGGAAGUUGAAGCCAUUCAGACCUGCAAAGCUGGUUACAAGCUUUAAAAAGAAACAGGGUGGCAUCAUUUAUAUAUCAGGUAUUACAGUGAACAGUUGUGUUAGUUGUGUGUGAAUAUAGUUGUGUGUGAUCAGAAAUAGAGAUGUACCAUGGAGGUUUUUCCUGAAUCCCAGGUGCAAGUCGCCAAUAUCACUGAUCCAUUGAGGUGAACUGUGUUGAAUAUAAAUAUUUUCAGUUCAGAUAUGAUUAAGCAACACUUUUGGACGCUCAAACUUGUCUGGGAAUCCAGGAUAUUUACCAUGACUUUGGCAACACAGAGUGGCACGAUGUGGGACACAUUUUGAGGACAAGGAGCCUCCCGGCAACAGUUGAAUUGGUUGCACACCGGGUUGCUCCAAAUGUAGCCGGUACUGCAGCUGCAGGUGGAUUCAUUUCGAAUAAGCAGGCACUCUAGAAUGAGAAGCACAGUCGACUCAAACGACCCAGAGAACUUACUUUUGAAGUAUUUCUCUUCAACACUGAAUAAAUAUGAGAGAGAACAUGAAAAUACUCAAAGGAUUUGAUUAGUGGGAUUGAUUACACAUGAUGAUGAUUUCUUUCUGAAAAUCCCUCAAAUAUGGCAGCCCGAUUUAAAACUAUUAUGAAGAGCGAGGAAGUAAAGGAAGAGGUCAGGAAGAAAAGUGAUCAAAUCUCAAAGAAUGAAAUAGUCUUGAAACUACAGACUGAGACCAUAAACUCAUGUUUACAAAGUUCACCAGGAAUAAAUCAGGAGAGAAGUAAUUAGAGAGUAAUUAUCUCAUAGAGGAAAAGUCGCCCCCUGUUGGUCACUACAGAGAAUGCACUGGCAUUCUUUGAAGGAGGAGGAAUAACCAAUGACAGGAUUAGGGUUAAAGGACCAAUGACAGGAUUAGGGUUGAAGGACCAAUGACAGGAUUAGGGUUAAAGGACCAAUGACAGGAUUAGGGUUGAAGGACCAAUGACAGGAUUAGGGUUGAAGGACCAAUGACAGGAUUAGGGUUGAAGGACCAAUGACAGGAUUAGGUUUAAAGGACCAAUGACAGGAUUAGGAUUAAAGGAGCUCCAGCGUGAUACCUGCAACCAGUUCAUUGUGGGAGAGGAUCACUGUGGUCAAGUCAGACAGUUUGAUGUCAUGUGUUGAAUUCAAAAUGGAAAGGAUCUGGUCGGCCUCCAUAGUAACAUUACUCUCCACCAUCAGCUCGGCAAUGUAGAGAUCUUCGACUGAAACACAAGAUAUUGUAUGUCGGAUCCUUUUGUAUUUUUACUGGGCUGAGUUAGAUGGGAUGCGAUCGAUUGAGUUGGUCGACAGUAGGUUGAUUUUAAUACUUAAAAUAUACCUUCAGUAUUUUGUAAACUGAACUAUAUUUCCCCAUAACUUCUCUUGAAUUGUGUAGUAAAAUGCUUGUAACGGGCAGCAGUUUAACAGGCAGCGAGGGCAAUCUUGUGGCGUUAAUGUCAGUAAAAGUGUUUUUAUUCAGGUUGUGAUUAAAAGUGUCAAACGACGUCAUGCAAAUCCUACCUUAUUUAUUUAUUUAUGAUAUCGAACAUAUUCUGCAUUACUUUUCUGUUUUAUAAAAUCCUUCUUUACGAGAAUGAAGCAAACCUACUCACCCGCUGCAAGGACCUGCAAUGAGAAGAAUAGGCCAACGACAGAAUUAGCCUUAAUGCUAAGGGUGUAGUGCCCAUCAAAAAUAUAAAAUAUAUCUUUUUGUAGCUUUGUAAUGCUGAAUAGAUAAAGAUUAACACACAAAGAUGUUAUUCUUCAUUGUCAAUGAAUGCAGAAAGGAUAGAGUGUGGAAAAAGUAUGAAUGAAUUAGAAAUGCAAACAAGUAGCUGAGGAGUAUCUUUACCUGAAAGUAUAUAUGCACAGCUCCAAUCAGACACAUAAAUAUCUUGGAACACAUCGUUGUUCUAGUGUAAAAAAGAAUAAACAUUAGAAACAAUUAAGGAACCAACAGAUGACCAUGGGCCUACUCAUUCAUUGAAAUUGAUUUUGAUGUUUACAUUUCUCAGAGGAUGAUUAAUCAUUUUGGUGAUCGCCUGAUCUUUUGCUCAAAAAACCUUCUCUGAGUUGCAUCAACUGCAAGGCUGUAAAUAGCUUUUAUUUUUUAUCCAUCUCUAAAAACAACAUUUGCAUACUGCUAAUCCCAAAGUUUGGACAAACAUGGCCUAUAUACAUCAAAUAUGUUGAAGCUUGUGUUCCUCUCAUACGAGGUGCCAAUUUUUGCUUGCAAAACUUGUUUGCACCAGUGGAGUAGGUGGUUUUCAGGCUUCUGAUAACAGUGCACGGUGUGGUCAGAGGCCCGUCACUGUGGUCCAGGUUAUGCCCACUUCAUUUUCUUGUUGGGUUAGGACAUGUUAAUAAGUGUAUGCGUAGACAAAACAAGCUGGCACCCAAAGGCUUCUUUAUUAGGCAAACCUGUCCAGUCUCUGCAGUUCAAGAGGAGAAAGCUGCGCUACAAACAUUCAAAUUAUUUUAAAUGAGUACUGGACUACAUUUGAUUAUGUGUUCUCCCUGUUUACGUCAUACAUGACUGAAUAAUGUAAACAACACGCUAUAUAACGUAUCCCAGGACAACAAAACCAAUAACCACAAAAAAAAUGAUACGGCCCAAUAAAAGUAGAUCCUAUGACAGAAGUGUUUGCUCUACAGCGCUCCUAAUAAGGUGAUCACAUACAUGCAAUAACAGCCUGACCUGAUAUGAAAAUAAACUCUUUGAGAGUGUGUCAAUGGCAAGGACGGUCUGCAAACCCUCAACGCCUUUGAUAAAACGCUUUACCGAACGGAUAAAGAUAAAAACAUUUUACAGAAUCUCCAGCAACUCACAACUUGUCAAACAAGUUGCUCAACAAACUUAUCAUCCAUGUUGCUCACGCUACAUAGUGACUGAGUAGAUUGACGCCACAAACACUGACAGGGAAGAAGAAGAAAAGUCAUUUUCUCUUAAGACAAACUGCGCCUUGUGUUGUGAAAUGCAUUCACAACAUUUCUGUAUGAGAAAUGAAUUUAAAUAACUGAUCAUGAUGAUCAUCAGCUCUAAGUGAGAUAUUUGAGGUUGAGGGAUUUCCCUGUUAUAAUUAGUUCUUAAGCCUACAAUGUGUUUAUAUUGUUGUGUUCUCACACACACAACAAAGACUGAAAAUUGCAUCGCACAGUUUCUGAAAAAACGAAUGGGCAGGAAAUCAUCAGUCAGCACACAACCUCAAUGUCCGCAGAGGACACAGUUGAGAUGCUUCCAUUCAUGCAACUAGAGAGAAAUCUAUGGAGUCAAGCCUGGUGAUAUAAACAAUAUAGGUGGAGAAGAUGUCUGUUGAGAGCAUUUAGAGCAGUGAUUCUCAACUGGUGGGACCCGCUUUAAUGGGCCUUUGC
ensembl:lncRNA